UUUUUUUUUUUUUUUUUUUUUUUUGGCUUUUUAGGGCCAUACCCGUGGCCUAUGGAACCUCCCAGGCUAGGGGUGGAAUUGGAGCUGCAGCUGCUGGCCUACACCACAGCUCAUGGCAAUGCCAGGAUCCUUAACCCACUGAGCGAGGCCAGGGAUCGAACCCAAGUCCUCACAGAUACUAGUCAGGCUAGUAUCUGCAAAGCCACAGUGGGAACUUCCUUUCUCUUUCUCUCUCUCAGACACACACACAUACACACACACACACACACACACACACGCACGCACACGCGCGCGCGCACGCGCACACACGUUUGUGUGCGCCCACAUGCCUGCUUUGAUGAGGAUUUUGGAGAUAAAGAGGCGUUUAAAGGCGUUUAAAGAUAAACCCCUCGGUGCCCGUGGGUUGUGGAGAGAAGAGACAGACGUGAGGGUGUGUGAAUAUGUGCAAGUCUGCUCUUCUCACAUCUUCUUAGCUCCCUGAGGGAUUCUCUUGGAGAAAUCAACACCGAUUAAGACCCAGGACUUUUGUCAUUAUUGUUUGUUUGUUGGCUUUGCUUUCCAAUGAUCACAUCCUUUCUCAGAUGCAAUAGAGAUCCAACUCCUUGCUUGAAUGAAAGAGAGGGAAAGGGCUAAGUGAGAGCAGGGAAUGGCGAGGAGCCAAAAGAACCUGAUCCAUUUCUUAAAAAAAAAAAAUCCCUCCAUGCGAUGAAACACCUGCCUUCUAGGAGCGACCUGCGUUGUUCUGAGAAUGAUGGUGAUUUAUCUCAAUAAUUUAUGAGCUAGCCAGCUCAAGGCUAGGCCAUUCUAGACAGGUGAGAUGUUUGACAAAGUGUGGGGGAGAAAGCCUGACUGGGAGAGAAGAAGGCUCGUUCUUGCAAGCAGGAGCCUCACGGGGCCUGAGAAGACGAGGAGGGGGCUGGGAGAGGAGGCAGGACCCCUAACAUAACGGGAAAAGCAUUGAUAAACAUCCCUCUGAGCCUCGGGCACUUUUGGAUGGUGUUGGAAAACUUCCCAAGUCUUAUAACAACCGUAGAGUACGUGAUGUCUUUUCCGUUUCAUGAAAGAAGAAGCUAACGUUUUGAAAGGCUUGGUACAUUUCCCCAGAGAGUUCCUCAUUGAAUGGCACAGCCAUCCACCCGGCAGCUCAAGUCAGAAAUGGGGAUUCAUCCCGACACCCCACUUCUCAGCCCACCUUCUCCGUCAGGGAACCAGCUCCCUGGAGGUGACAUCCAAGAUUGUCCUGAUGCCCUCCUCCCACUCGCCACCACCUGGCUCCAGCAUCCCGGUUUCUGCCUGGAUGGGUAUGAUGGCAACCUCGGGGUCUUCCUGCCCAGUUAGCUCUCCGGAGACGGAGACGGAGACGGGUUUUGCAAAGAUCGCUGGACUUCGCUGCGCGACUACUUGGAAUGCUUGCUGUAGGUUUCGCUUUCAAAGAUACUCCAUUCAGCUCCAUUAAAAAUUUUUUUAAAGUAGGUAUAGUUGAUUUAUAAUGUGCCAAUUUCUGCUGCACAGCGAAGUGAUGCAGUCAUACAUAUAUAUUGACAUAUACAUUCUUUUUCUCACAUUAUUUUCCAUCACGUUCUUUCCCAAGAGAUUGGAUAAAGUUCCCUGUGCUGUACAGGAGGGCUCAGCUCCAAUCUUAAGAGGAAGCAUGGUGGUUUCAUUUCUAGAAUAUUUAGUAUAGCCUUAGGCAUAUGCCUGAAAUCUCCAUUUGCUCAUCAUCAAACUGAAGCAUGUUUUCUUGAAAUCCAAAUAAUUUAAGGUUUGUGAAGCCAGGUUGGUUUUGAUCCAGACAUAAAUCCUUAGCCACUAAGAAUAUUUUGCCUUUUUUUUCCAAAGGGGGGUGGUGGCCUAUUUUGUUUUGCCUGAAAUUUGGAAGACACACACAUAUGGAUUCAUCUACAAGAAUUAAAGUAAAUUUUAAUUCUGUUUUAACUUUCUACCUGGUCAUUCCCAAACUGUGCCGAAUACCUUUUUGUAAUGCAUUUUCUGAGCCACACCUUGGGGCCGAGACUGAAGCCCAGGCAGGGCGGCGUGGAUGAAUUAUGGCAUCAGCCUCCAGGUCACAUCUGGUUCUCAUUCCAUUAGCUCUGAAUGGGGCUGUCUGUGUUCCUCAGACACUCUGCACCUAGAAGUUAUCAAUCACUGCGGAAAGAAACAAAUGCUAACCUUCUCCUACCUGCUUGGCGCAGACAGGAGGCAGGACACUGAUUUCAGUUUUUGGAAGUAUGCAAGAAAUAGAGAGGGUUCUUGACGCAGCAAAUGUUGACCGUUUCAUGACUGUCCAGAUAUGUGAUUUUUGUUCCACUCCUGCUCGAUCUCCCCUCGGUCUUAUGUUUUUUGGCUUCUCCUUCUGGUUUAGGCGAGCAUCUUGUCACACACUGGGCGUCGGCCGGGUGUUUUGCAUUCUCAGCUCGUUUUCUCCUCCUUCUGCCCCUUAGGCAGAUACUCUCGCCCUUAUCCUACUGAGGCCACUGGGAACCUGUGAGAGGUUCGAUGCCUUGCCCGUGGCCAUCAAUAGUUGGAGAAGGGAGCCAAGGCUGGAGCCCAGGAUCUUAACACGCGCCUUCUGCUAAGCCGUGCUACUCUGAGGGCGUAAGCCUGCUGAAGGUCGUGACCUUCUGACUCUCAGCACACUUAGAACUGAGAUGUAUUUUUGAGACAAGCCAGUUUCGUUCCUUAAUCUCCCUGGGGGAAACGAUGGGCGGCUGCUUCCAGUUGAACAAACUUAAAUUUGAAGGCAGGGCUUCCCAUUCGAGUGUCCAUUUGCCAGACCUUAGCGAUUUGGGCAAAUCUUAGCAUCAUCCUGAACCCAGGUACCAAUAUAUAUCCAGGGGAGUCAGGUAAAGCUGUUCUCCUAAAAUGCAGGUCUUCGGCAUCUGCUCUUGGCCAUGACUCCUGCCCUAGUCAGUCUCAUCUAGGGAGGGGGGGAAACUGGAAAGUCAAUGUGAAAAUAUACCACUGAGGAGUUCCCGUCGUGGCUCAGUGGUUAACAAAUCAGAUUCGGCCCCUAGCCUGGGAACCUCCAUAUGCUGUGGGUGCGGCCCUAGAAAAGACAAAAAAAGACAGGAAAAAAAAUAUAUAUAUAUACAUAUAUCUCACUGAAAUGAUGCUGAGACUUACAAAACUCCUGGCACAUAGAUUUCCCAUAAGUGAGUUGAUCUUAUCACUGGCUUAAGAUUUAACUCUUGAAAGAAAAAAAUCAUGCAAUAAAAAAUCUUUAAAAGAUAUUUUGUGGAUAAAGAAAACAUCUGAAUGAACAUUAAAUUUCAUAAACAGGAUAACAGCUUUGUUGUCAUACAGGAGAAUAUCUUUGCAGAAGCAUCAUUAAGUCUGUCACUGUUAUAAAUGGUUCUUUGUAUUAAGGAGACAGGGGGUGGGGGAGGUGAACCCACUUUCCCAGGAAACCCUGACAUCCAGCCCCCAACAAAGGUUCAGGAAAUUGAAAAUGGACUUUCCUUUUGAUUCAGUAAUUAUAUUUGUUGAAACGUAUGCUAAAGAAUUAGUUGUAAUGGAGUUCCCAUCUUGGCUCAGCGGAAAUGAAUCUGACGAGCAUCCAUGAGGACGCAGGUUCAAUCUCUGGCCUCACUCAGUGGCUUAAGGGAUCUGGUAUGGCCAUGAGCUGUGGUGCAGAUCACAGAUAUGGCUUGAAUUCCGUGUUGCUGUGGCUGUGGACCAAAAAAAAAAAA
rnacentral:lncRNA from 1 species